UAAAUCAGGAGACAUAAACAAUACAUAACAAAGUAUGAUUCAGACAUAAGAGACAGAAUGUAGAGGCCAACACAACAACCAAAUCAAAAUAACUAAGACCGAUUCAGGUUUGAUUUCGAUUUACCUUUCGGUUUGACGAUCGAGAGCGAGACGCAGAGGCGUCGACAGCUAGAGAAGGAUGGCGGAGCCGUCGACGAUCGAGAGCGAGACGCGGAGGCGUCGACAGCUAGAGAAGGACGGCGGAGCCGUCGACGAUCGAGAGCGAGACGCGGAGGCGUCGAGGAGAGCCACAGAGACGAGUAGUCGUCGAGAGGGGCGCCGACUGAUUCCGUCGAGGAG
rnacentral:lncRNA from 1 species